UGGUCAUAUACCAAGGCUUUUGGGAGUUGUAGUUCCUAAUUUGCUGUGGACAUGACCAGAAAUUAAACCCCAGUGGGCUGCUUCAGUUUUUUGCUGCUGUGGUCUGCUGGGAACAUUA
ensembl:snoRNA